AUUGAACGCUGGCGGCAGGCCUAACACAUGCAAGUCGAGCGGAGCGGCGGACGGGGGAGUAAUGCCUAUGAAUCUGCCUGGUAGUGGGGGAUAACGUCCGGAAAUGGGCGCUAAUACCGCAUACUAUCAGAUGAGCCUAGGUCGGAUUAGCUAGAUGGUGGGGUAAAGGCCUACCAAGGCGACGAUCCGUAACUGGUCUGAGAGGAUGAUCAGCCACACUGGAACUGAGACACGGUCCAGACUCCUACGGGAGGCAGCAGUGGGGAAUAUUGGACAAUGGGCGAAAGCCUGAUCCAGCCAUGCCGCGUGUGUGAAGAAGGUCUUCGGGUUGUAAAGCACUUUCAGCGGGGAGGCGUUACCCGCAGAAGAAGCACCGGCUAACUCCGUGCCAGCAGCCGCGGUAAUAC
rnacentral:rRNA from 1 species